rnacentral:rRNA from 1 species
CGUGUAGGCGGUUUGGUAAGUGGGACGUGAAAUCCCUCGGCUCACCCGAGGACCUGCGUCCCAUACUGCCAGGCUAGAGUACGGGAGAGGAUGAAGGAAUUCCUGGUGUAGCGGUGAAAUGUGUAGAUAUCAGGAGGAACACCGGUGGCGAAGGCGUUCAUCUGGCCCGAUACUGACGCUGAGGCGCGAAAGCUAGGGAGCAAACG